CUCCACCAAAUACCCCAGCAGUUAUGUCUCCAGAUGACAUGGAGGAUCUGACCAACAGAGUCACAGAAAGAGUCGCCAGCCAGAUGGAAAAGAGAAUUGAAGAAAUAUUUAAUAAAAUGACUUCCCAAGGAAAUACUGGCAAAUCGUGUGUUCAGGAGGCUGAAGUUCAGCAUCAUGUUGACUCCCUAAAUAGAAACAUUCAAGGUGUAAUUUGAAAUAGAUCACAACACUAAGAGAGUCACAAUACAGAUUAGAGGAAAUGGUCGCAAGUAGUGUAACAAUCGGCUCAGAAGAUAUUGAAAUACAUAAAAACCAAGCCGAGAAAAUAGUACAGACAGUAUCCAUAAGAAAGCGUAGAAAGUUAACCUCACUAACAGAUGAACAAACCAUAAAGAAAAUUAAAACUGACUGUGAUAAUAUUGUACCUGAAGAGGAGAACGAUGACAAUAAUAUACAACAACAUGUGAAAAGGAGGAAAGAAACGAUAAAGUUUCCAAAGUUGUACCGAUUACUUCAUGAUAAUGAAAAUGUAACUGAGGGAUUAUCAGCAAAAUCACCAAAUGCGCGGAAAGAUGUUGCUACUCACGUUGCAACCGGAAGUAGAAGAGAUUAUCAUUCUCAGUAUAUUUCAACAUGUGCGUCGCUCGAAAAAGCGGAAUAUUUCAGGAAUUUAAAACUUCAAAGUGGAUAUAGCUGGGGUAUGAAACAUAUUGCUGAAAUCGACGUUGAUGGUUUACCAGAAAAAGUAGAAAUAAUCGAUUUGACAACAAAGUCAUUGAGGAAAAAAUACGAAAUAAGUGACAUGGCUGCGAAUGAAAUAUUUCACAAAUUUGCAGAACGUCACCAGGAAGUUUUACUGGUGGGUACAGUUCCAGCAUCAUGUUUGAAAUUAAUAGAAUUCGCUGGAGAUUCAGACGCGGAUACAAAUGGUAGUGAUUCUGAAGAUUUGUUUGAUAUAUGCAAUUCAUCAUUAAUCAAUUUAGAGUCGUUUUAAUUCCAGGCAGGAUUAAUGUAUUAUAAUUUAAAACAAUUUAGAACUACAUUAUCAACAAAGUCAUAAAAAGCACGUUGAUUUAGAUAAAUAGGAAUAAGAUUCCGAAAAUAGUAUAAAUAAUGAAUAAUAUAAAUAUAUAUAAUAUAAACGAACAUCCAUGCAAAUAAAAAUAUAUUUCUACAUUUUGUAUAUUUAACAUUGCCAUUUCAAGUAAAAAUCUAAAUUUAAUAUUUGAUAAAGUUCCAAGAUCAUUACUUCCAUUUAUAUAUAUAAUUCUUUUUG